rnacentral:rRNA from 1 species
GACGAACCGUGCGAACGUUGUUCGGAAUCACUGGCUUAAAGGGCGCGUAGGCGGGCGGUCAAGUCUGUGGUGAAAUCCUUCGGCUCAACCGAAGAAUAGCUGGAGAUACUGGCCGUCUCGAGGGGGGUAGGGGCAUGUGGAACUUCCGGUGGAGCGGUGAAAUGCGUAGAUAUCGGAAGGAACGCCGGUGGCGAAAGCGGCUUCCUGGUCCAGCACCGACGUUCAGGCACGAAAGCGUGGGGAGCAAACAGG